GAAAUGCGAUAAGUAAUGUGAAUUGCAGAAUUCAGUGAAUCAUCGAAUCUUUGAACGCACCUUGCGCUCCUUGGUAUUCCUUGGAGCAUGCCUGUUCGAGUAUCAUGAAAUCUUCAAAGUAAAUCUUUUGUUAACUCAAUUGGUUUCUACUUUGGUAUUGGAGGUCUUUGCAGCUUCACACCUGCUCCUCUUUGUUCAUUAGCUGGAUCUCAGUGUUAUGCUUGGUUCCACUCGGCGUGAUAAGUUAUCUAUCGCUGAGGACACUGUAAAAGGUGGCCAAGGUAAAUGCAGAUGAACCGCUUCUAAUAGUCCAUUGACUUGGACAAUACUUUUAUGAUCAGAUCUCAAAUCAGGUAGGACUACCCGCUGAACUUAAGC
rnacentral:misc_RNA from 1 species